rnacentral:rRNA from 1 species
CCUACGGGCGGCAGCAGUGGGGGAUAUUGCACAAUGGGGGAAACCCUGAUGCAGCGACGCCGCGUGUGGGAAGACGGUCCUCUGGAUUGUAAACCACUGUCCCCAGGGACGAAGAUGACGGUACCUGGGGAGGAAGCUCCGGCUAACUACGUGCCAGCAGCCGCGGUAAUACGUAGGGAGCAAGCGUUGUCCGGAAUUACUGGGUGUAAAGGGAGCGUAGGCGGGAUGGCAAGUUGGGUGUUAAAUCUACCGGCUCAACUGGUAGUCGCACUCAAAACUGCUAUUCUUGAGUGAAGUAGAGGCAGGCGGAAUCCCUAGGGUAGCGGUGAAAGGCGUAGAUAUUAGGAGGAACACUAGGGGCGAAGGCGGCCUGCUGGGCUUUUACUGACGCGGAGGCUCGAAAGUGUGGGGAGAAAACAGGAUUAGAUACCCCGGUAGUC